CUUUAUCAAUUCUAAAAAAAAUAUUUCAUUCAUCUUAUCAAUAAAUUAUCAACACACAAAAUGAUAAUGAACACUGAACCUGCAUGAUACAAGAAAUAUAAUAUCAAAAAAUACAUUAUUGAGAUUUGACAAUUUAUAUAAGUUAAAACAUCGAUGACGAGUAGGUAGGUAAUGAAUGACGUGUUUCUUUGUUUUUUAAGCCUCCAUAGUUCAGGCUUCAAUAAACAUAUUUUUAAGCAAUGUUUGCUAAUCAAAUAGUAGUUAAAACAGUAAAAAUGUAUAACUUAAAUAUUUUAAUUUUAAACAAAUAUGAUACUGUAGUGUAUUGCCGAAUCUAUAUAUUAUGGUGCCAGUAUAGCAUGCGACACAAAAUUAACUAAAUUGAUAACAUAUAAAAAAACACUAACUGUUUACCUAUAUCAAGUAAAAAACAUUUAAUUUGGAUUCAAAAUACAAUAUAAAAUAUAAACAUACAUGAUUUAAAAGGAUCUAGAUGUCACUGUUAAAGAAUACAACACAACCUUGUACUGUAAUAAGCUUCCAAACCAAUAAAAACAAUUGAUUAAAAAUUCUAAAAAAAAAUGUUGGAUUCAAAUACCAAAGUAUACUGAAGCAUGUAAUAUACUAGUAAUUGAACAAAUUGUCUUCAUUAAAUGUUUAUGAAGUGCAGUUCUUAGCCCUAAUACUAAACUCAAUAAAUGUGUUGUAAUGGACAUUAAUGUUAUGGAAUACCUAUAAAUACCAACAUGUUCCUACACAUCUCAAAUAAAAAGCAAAAUGGCUGUUUCCCUGUUAUUGUACAAAGUCCUCCCGGCCGACGAAAAUUCUUCAACCAGCCCACGGUCUGGAUUGCCAAACAUGACUCGGAUACUCAAUGCAUUUUGUCCGAGACCGCUGACCAGCUCCAUCAAGUCUCAACCCGAGGAAGCAUACCACACCGGCACCUCGUUUUCGACCGUUUUUUCAUCGUAUCCAAUAUAUUUUGAUGCCAUCGUAUAGUACAACCAUAAUUACCUGAACAACAACAAUAAGUGCCCUGGCGGGCGUAGCAGCGACAAACGACAAUCCAUUGGAUACAAAUCAAUUCACCUGUUGUCAAGUAUACUCUCCCGUAUACCUUCCCAUUUUUUGCAACGCGGUCCGUUGUAUUCAAACAAAUAUUAAAAUAUUUUUUCUUACAGAAAACUAUACAAAUGAAUCAUAUUUUGCGCAAUGCACGAGUAUCCAUUGGAGCCUAAACGCAAAAAUACCAUAAUAUUAGCUGUCAUGUUAAAAUAUAUCCAGAUUUAUCCUCAUAAUCCCCAAAUUGUAUUAUAUACAAAUGUAUUUGCCAUGUUGCCCCCAAUUAUCAUAUUCCCAUGACUGAUAUUUUAUAUUAUUAUUAUCCCCCCCCCCCACCAAAAAAAAAAACCUAUUAUAUUAUUUGUUGUUUUUAUGCCAUGUAAAAUAAAACCACUUAAUUACCUUUAAGAAAACUCUCUUUUUAUUAUUAUUAGUGUCACCUAUUCUCAGAUAUAAUUAAUAUUAUUAAUUUCAAAAAAAGUCACUACGCAGAAAAAAAAAAAAGUACUUUGUCUUA